rnacentral:rRNA from 1 species
UACGUAGGCAGCGAGCGUUGUUCGGAGUUACUGGGCGUAAAGGGUGUGUAGGCGGUUGUUUAAGUUUGGUGUGAAAUCUCCCGGCUCAACUGGGAGGGUGCGCCGAAUACUGAAUGACUAGAGUGCGGGAGAGGUGAGUGGAAUUCCUGGUGUAGCGGGUGAAAUGCGCAGAUAUCAGGAGGAACACCGAGUGGCGAAGGCAGGUCUCUGGGCCACUACUGACGCUGAGAAGCGAAAGCAUGGGGAGCGAACAGG